rnacentral:rRNA from 1 species
UGAACGCUGGCGGCGUGCCUAAUACAUGCAAGUAGAACGCUGAAGGAAGGAGCUUGCUCUUUCCGGAUGAGUUGCGAACGGGUGAGUAACGCGUAGGUAACCUGCCUGGUAGCGGGGGAUAACUAUUGGAAACGAUAGCUAAUACCGCAUAACAGUAGAUAUUGCAUGAUAUCUGCUUGAAAGGGGCAAUUGCUCCACUACCAGAUGGACCUGCGUUGUAUUAGCUAGUUGGUGAGGUAACGGCUCACCAAGGCGACGAUACAUAGCCGACCUGAGAGGGUGAUCGGCCACACUGGGACUGAGACACGGCCCAGACUCCUACGGGAGGCAGCAGUAGGGAAUCUUCGGCAAUGGACGGAAGUCUGACCGAGCAACGCCGCGUGAGUGAAGAAGGUUUUCGGAUCGUAAAGCUCUGUUGUAAGAGAAGAACGAGUGUGAGAGUGGAAAGUUCACACUGUGACGGUAUCUUACCAGAAAGGGACGGCUAACUACGUG